CGCGUAGGCGGUUAGUUAAGUCAGCUGUGAAAGCCCCGGGCUCAACCUGGGAAUUGCAGUUGAUACUGGCCAACUAGAGUGCAGGAGAGGGAGGUAGAAUUCCACGUGUAGCGGUGAAAUGCGUAGAUAUGUGGAGGAAUACCGGUGGCGAAGGCGGCCUCCUGGCCUGACACUGACGCUGAGGUGCGAAAGCGUGGGGAGCAAACA
rnacentral:rRNA from 1 species